rnacentral:rRNA from 1 species
AGAGUUUGAUCCUGGCUCAGGACGAACGCUGGCGGCGUGCCUAAUACAUGCAAGUCGAGCGGAGUUUUGAAAAGCUUGCUUUUCAAAACUUAGCGGCGGACGGGUGAGUAACACGUGGGCAACCUGCCCUUGAGACGGGGAUAACUCCGGGAAACCGGAGCUAAUACCGGAUAACACAUAUCUUCGCAUGAGGAUAUGUUAGAAGGUGGCUUUUAGCUACCACUCAAGGAUGGGCCCGCGGCGCAUUAGCUAGUUGGUGAGGUAACGGCUCACCAAGGCGACGAUGCGUAGCCGACCUGAGAGGGUGAUCGGCCACACUGGGACUGAGACACGGCCCAGACUCCUACGGGAGGCAGCAGUAGGGAAUCUUCCGCAAUGGACGAAAGUCUGACGGAGCAACGCCGCGUGAGUGAUGAAGGUUUUCGGAUCGUAAAGCUCUGUUGUUAGGGAAGAACAAGUACCUAUUAAAUAAGCAGGUACCUUGACGGUACCUAACCAGAAAGCCACGGCUAACUACGUGCCAGCAGCCGCGGUAAUACGUAGGUGGCAAGCGUUGUCCGGAAUUAUUGGGCGUAAAGCGCGCGCAGGCGGUUCCUUAAGUCUGAUGUGAAAGCCCACGGCUCAACCGUGGAGGGUCAUUGGAAACUGGGGAACUUGAGUGCAGAAGAGGAGAGCGGAAUUCCACGUGUAGCGGUGAAAUGCGUAGAGAUGUGGAGGAACACCAGUGGCGAAGGCGGCUCUCUGGUCUGUAACUGACGCUGAGGCGCGAAAGCGUGGGGAGCGAACAGGAUUAGAUACCCUAGUAGUCC